UUAAGUUCAGCGGGUAGUCCUACCUGAUUUGAGGCCAGAGGUCAAAGGUGUAUGUCUCAUCAAAGAGACCGUUAGAAGCCAAACCUACGACGGAGCGCCUCUCAGCCACAACGUAGACAAUUAUCACGUUGAAGCCGAUACAGCAGAGGUUCAAGCUAAUGCAUUCAAGAGGAGCUGGCAGACACCAGCAAAACCCCCAA
rnacentral:misc_RNA from 1 species